rfam:Schistosoma rodhaini strain Burundi genome assembly, scaffold: SROB_scaffold0000691
AUCUAGCUGACGAGUCACAAAUAGGACUAAACGCGCGUCAAACUGGAU